GUAGGUGGCGGGCGUUGUCCGGAUUUACUGGGCGUAAAGAGCGCGCAGGCGGUCGUGCAAGUCGCGUGUGAAAGCCCCCGGCUCAACUGGGGAGGGUCACGCGAUACUGCUCGACUCGAAGGCAGGAGAGGGAAGUGGAAUUCCCGGUGUAGUGGUGAAAUGCGUAGAUAUCGGGAGGAACACCAGUGGCGAAGGCGACUUCCUGGCCUGUUCUUGACGCUGAGGCGCGAAAGCUAGGGUAGCAAACGGGAUUAGAUACCCCGGUAGUCCUAGCCGUAAACGAUGGACACUAGGUGUUGGUGGUAUCAACCCCGCCAGUGCCGAAGCUAACGCAUUAAGUGUCCCGCCUGGGGAGUACGGCCGCAAGGCUA
rnacentral:rRNA from 1 species